rnacentral:lncRNA from 1 species
UCCUUGAUUUCCUAUGAAAUAUCCCUGCCCCCACUCUCUCCCAUUCUCCUCCUGAGCCAGCAGAGUAACCCUACCCAUUUUUUGCCUUUUCAGGUAGUCAGACCUGUCCUGACAGCUGGAGGCCUACGUGAGGGGUGGCCACAGAAGGAGGAGGUCUCAGAGGCCACAGAAACUGAGGAAUCUGAACACAUGAGCUCCGGAGUCCCAGGACUGAACACCUUCUCAACUGAACUUAAAGGAGAGAUAAGUACAAUGUUUUGAGCUAUGUUUAAAUGAAGAUGAGCUAGAAGAAGACAGAACUGUUAAAAAUACGUAAGUUUUAUUAUGUAGCCAAAUGAAGGAUUCGGCUCUCUUUUAACGGUAUUCUUAAAAAUUCCUAGCUUCUAGGAAAUUCCCUAGUUAUGGAAUUUUCUUUCAUUAUAUUGAACUACUCCUGAUUUCAUCAUGAAAAUCUGAUCUGAAACUCAAUUUAUGGAAAUAUUGAAAAUGAAUUUGAAAUUAAAUGAGACCAUCUGUAUACUAAUAUGAUGCAAUAUUGUUGAUUCACAUUUUUCCAUAUUAAAGACUGUUCUGAACUCUAAAUCUUUUAAAUAAAUGAG